rnacentral:tRNA from 1 species
CAGUGAAUAGUUUAUUAUUUAAAAUGUUAAUUUUGGAGAUUAAAGAAAAGUUUUACUUUUUACUGA